rnacentral:rRNA from 1 species
AUUGAACGCUGGCGGCAGGCCUAACACAUGCAAGUCGAACGGUAACAGGAAGAAGCUUGCUUCUUUGCUGACGAGUGGCGGACGGGUGAGUAAUGUCUGGGAAACUGCCUGAUGGAGGGGGAUAACUACUGGAAACGGUAGCUACUACCGCAUAACGUCGCAAGACCAAAGAGGGGGACCUUCGGGCCUCUUGCCAUCGGAUGUGCCCAGAUGGGAUUAGCUAGUAGGUGGGGUAACGGCUCACCUAGGCGACGAUCCCUAGCUGGUCUGAGAGGAUGACCAGCCACACUGGAACUGAGACACGGUCCAGACGCCUACGGGAGGCAGCAGUGGGGAAUAUUGCACAAUGGGCGCAAGCCUGAUGCAGCCAUGCCGCGUGUAUGAAGAAGGCCUUCGGGUUGUAAAGUACUUUCAGCGGGGAGGAAGGGAGUAAAGUUAAUACCUUUGCUCAUUGACGUUACCCGCAGAAGAAGCACCGGCUAACUCCGUG